rnacentral:rRNA from 1 species
GAUGAACGCUGGCGGCGUGCCUAAUACAUGUAAGUCGAGCGAACGGACGAGAAGCUUGCUUUUCUGAUGUUAGCGGCGGACGGGUGAGUAACACGUGGAUAACCUACCUAUAAGACUUGGAUAACUUCGGGAAACCGGAUCUAAUACCGGAUAAUAUUUUGAACCGCAUGGUUCAAAAGUUCAAGACGGUCUUGCUGUCACUUAUAGCUGGAUCCGCGCUGCAUUAGCUAGUUGGUAAGGUAACGGCUUACCAAGGCAACGAUGCAUAGCCGACCUGAGAGGGUGAUCGGCCACACUGGAACUGAGACACGGUCCAGACUCCUACGGGAGGCAGCAGUAGGGAAUAUUGCGCAAUGGGCGAAAGCCUGACGGAGCAACGCCGCGUGAGUGAUGAAGGUCUUCGGAUCGUAAAACUCUGUUAUUAGGGAAGAAAAGAUGUGUAAGUAACUGUGGACAUCUUGACGGUACCUAAUCAGAAAGCCACGGCUAACUACGUG